rnacentral:snoRNA from 1 species
UUGCAGCCAAUUAAGCCGACUGAGUUCCUUUCCUCAUGGGGGCCCAGUGUGCAAUGGCUGCAAUGGCUGGUAGUGAUGCAGCCUAUUUGUUGUAUGGGUUGCUCUAAGGGACCUUGGAGACAGUC